GCACGGAGUUAGCCGGUGCUUCCUUUGGAGGUACCGUCACCCAGGGUCUCCUAUUCGAAGCCCUGUAUUCGUCCCCCCCGACAGUGGUUUACAACCCGAAGGCCGUCAUCCCACACGCGGCGUCGCUGCGUCAGUCUUGCGACCAUUGCGCAAUAUUCCCCACUGCUGCCUCCCGUAGGAGUCUGGGCCGUGUCUCAGUCCCAAUGUGGCUGGCCAUCCUCUCAGACCAGCUACCCGUCGUCGCCUUGGUGGGCCAUUACCCCGCCAACAAGCUGAUAGGCCGCGAGACUCUCCGCCGGCGCAACCUUGCGGCUGCUUUCCUCGCUCAGGGAUGCCCCCGAGCGAGCGGAUGCGGUAUUACCCGGCCGUUGGGCCGGCUAUCCCCCGCCGACGGACAAGUUCCUCACGUGUUACGCACCCAUCUGCCACUGAACCGGAGUUGCCCCCGGUCCCGUUCGACUUGCAUGUGUUAGGCACGCCGCCAGCGUUCGUC
rnacentral:rRNA from 1 species